GUCAUUUCGGUAUAUCUAUAUAACAGCUGAUGCGUGCGCCGUGCGUAUUUUACUUCGAUAGGGCUUAUUUAGGAAAUAAUAAAUAAACUACUCAAACUAUGGCGUUAAGAAAUUCAGUUUUAAAGUUAGCUAAACUAGGUCGUCCUAGCAGUCAUAUGCGACUACGAGCUCUAAGUACCCAGACUUCUGAAAAGAUCAACGAAGGCGAAAAAUCUAAACAGACUCAUUUCGGCUUCCAGACGGUCGAUGAGCAAGAGAAGUGGAAAAAAGUACACAAUGUGUUUGAAACAGUAGCGGACAAGUAUGAUGUAAUGAAUGAUGCCAUGUCGCUGGGCAUCCACCGACUGUGGAAGGACAUCUUCAUGCAGCGGCUGGCUCCUACGCAUGGGACCAAGCUUUUGGAUGUAGCUGGAGGCACAGGGGACAUUACAUUCCGGUACAUAAACUAUCUGAAAAACCUGGGUCCUGCGCCAGAGGGCAGGCGGAGCGUUGUCACAGUCUGCGAUAUCAACCAAGCCAUGCUGGAUGUGGGCAAAGUCAGGGCACAAAGGCAAGGAUAUACCCCAGAGUCGUGCGGGGUAGACAUCGACUGGGUGUGUGGAGACGCGGAAAAACUCCCGCAUGCUGAUGACAGCUACACAGCCUACACCAUCGCUUUUGGCAUCCGGAACUGCACACAUAUUGAUAAGGUGCUGGAGGAGGCGUACCGCGUGCUGGCGCCGGGCGGCCGCUUCGUGUGCCUGGAGUUCAGCCGCCUGCCCAGCGAGGCGCUGCAGUGGCGAGUCGUCCUUAACAUUACUACCCAAAAUUCAAAAUUUUAUUCUGCAAGGCGUACGACCAAUACUCGUUCCAAGUGAUCCCAGUGCUGGGGCAGCUCAUAGCUGGCCAGUGGAAGCCCUACCAGUACCUGGUUGAGAGCAUACGUCAGUUCCCUAACCAGGAGAAGUUCAAGUCCAUGAUCGAAGACGCCGGCUUCAGACAGGUCACCUACGAAAACCUAACCUUCGGCGUCACCGCCAUACACUCGGGAUUCAAGAUCUAACUACCAGGGAACUUGUUGAACUAUUUUAUUGAACCCUUUGGAUGCCAAGAACACCUAGACUAAGUUAAUUUUGCAGCGACUAGAACAGAAAGUGAGGAGCGUCAUUAUGAACGUAUUUUCAUAUACCUAAAUUUGGCAUUAAUUGUGACAUUGCCACACUUUGUAAUUGCAAAUGCCUUCAGAGUGAGAUUGGUUAGACGCGAGACUCAAAUGACGUUUCAAUGUGAGACUUAGCAGACCAAAACCACUCCCUGUAGGUACAUGACCACACUAUUGACUGCUUGGUACUUUUUUAUAUGAUAGUUUAUAUUAUUUAAUAAAAAUAAGAGUAAAUCUGUUCGAUAA